GACAGAGGGUGCAAACGUUGUUCGGAAUUACUGGGCGUAAAGCGCGUGUAGGCGGCUGGGCAAGUCGGAUGUGAAAGCCCUGGGCUCAACCCAGGAAGUGCACUCGAAACUGCCGAGCUGGAGUCCCGGAGAGGAAGGCGGAAUUCUCGGUGUAGAGGUGAAAUUCGUAGAUAUCGAGAGGAACACUUGUGGCGAAGGCGGCCUUCUGGACGGCGACUGACGCUGAGACGCGAAAGCGUGGGGAGCAAACAGG
rnacentral:rRNA from 1 species